UACGGAGGGUGCGAGCGUUGUCCGGAAUCAUUGGGCGUAAAGGGCGCGUAGGUGGCCCGGUCAGUUCGUGGUGAAAGCGCGGGGCUCAACCCUGCGUCGGCCAUGAAUACUGCCGCGGCUGGAGCACUGUAGAGGCAGGCGGAAUUCCGGGUGUAGCGGUGGAAUGCGUAGAGAUCCGGAAGAACACCGGUGGCGAAGGCGGCCUGCUGGGCAGUUGCUGACACUGAGACGCGAAAGCGUGGGGAGCGAACAGG
rnacentral:rRNA from 1 species